UACGUAGGGGGCAAGCGUUGUCCGGAAUCAUUGGGCGUAAAGAGCGUGUAGGCGGCCCGAUAAGUCCGCCGUGAAAGCCCAGGGCUCAACCCUGGGAUGCCGGUGGAUACUGUCGGGCUAGAGUUCGGAAGAGGCAAGUGGAAUUCCUGGUGUAGCGGUGAAAUGCGCAGAUAUCAGGAGGAACACCGGUGGCGAAGGCGGUUCUCUGGGCAUUACCUGACGCUGAGGAGCGAAAGUGUGGGGAGCGAACAGG
rnacentral:rRNA from 1 species